CUGAAUUUAUCAUGGGCGUGGAGACAGCUAACCGUAGGCGGAACUGCACCAAGCCACACCCACUUAGUGAUAACCUUUUCAAACCCAGGGACAGAGCCAUCUCAGGCAAGGAGAUGCAAUGGAGAUCCAGGCGGAUUUACAACAAACUCCCUGAGGUAACCAAAAAGAAGGAGGAGGAGAGGAAGAGGCUAGUUUUGGAAACCAACAGACUGAGGGUAGAGGUGU